rnacentral:tRNA from 1 species
UCCCGGGUGGCUCAGACGGUAAAGCAUCUGCCUGCAAUGUGGGAGACCCUGGUUCGAUUCCUGGGUCGAGAA